UACGUAGGUGGCAAGCGUUGUCCGGAAUUAUUGGGCGUAAAGCGCGCGCAGGCGGUUUCUUAAGUCUGAUGUGAAAGCCCCCGGCUCAACCGGGGAGGGUCAUUGGAAACUGGGAAACUUGAGUGCAGAAGAGGAAAGUGGAAUUCCAAGUGUAGCGGUGAAAUGCGUAGAGAUUUGGAGGAACACCAGUGGCGAAGGCGACUUUCUGGUCUGUAACUGACGCUGAGGCGCGAAAGCGUGGGGAGCAAAC
rnacentral:rRNA from 1 species